UGAAAUUGCCACCCUGUAGAUCAAGACCACCCCCAGAUACAUCAUACCUACAUCACUGAAAAGGCGGUCUACAACAGAAAUUUGAAUGCUGUUUUUCUCCUGUCCUUGUUUAUCUCCUGUCUGGCAGGUUACUUGAUUGGAUUGCCUGGGGAGCCUGGCCAGUCUUUUGUAGUGAUAAAUACUUAGUUCCUGGGCCAGGUCACAGGCUCACACCCUAUUCAAACACAGACAUACCCUUAAGACAGGAUUUGUGAAGGAAAAGACAAUGGGGAGGCUUUUCCACUUUGACCUUGCAGAGAAAACAUUUGCUCAGUUUGGGAAUCAAAAUGGUUCCAGGUUGGUCUUCCUGUGCUGAUCUGUGUACGUGCUUGGCUGGUACAUUGAUGAACAUUUAACAUAUAUCUAAGACCUCAAAAUUCCUAUCACAAUAUCUCUUG